GUUAAUUUAAAAAGUCAUUUGAUGCCUCUUAAGUGUUAGAGGGAAAAAUUUCUAUCAGGUGAUGUAUAGUACCUUGUUUUAAAUUUAUUCACCUUAAAGGAUACCUUAAGACCAUGCAGAUUACUGGUGGAGUUUGCAGCUAGCAUAUGGAGAAAAUAGAAGUUUCAGGAUGGGACAAAACCAAACCAGUUCAGCCCACUCCAGUCAACACAUCUAUUGAAGACCAUGAAGACACAUUUGCAUCUUUGGUAACUAGGAGCCACUGUUUUCAACCAUAUUCCUGACUACUUAGGGAAAUUAUAUCAUGUUAAAAGUUGGAGGGAGGGGAUGUAUUCUACAAAGCAGAAUGUCUUAUUUGAGAUUAUUUUCAUUACAGUGAGAAAAGCCAGCUACAGUUGUAGCUGUUGGAAUUCAGUCUUACAGUGUUUUGGUUUGUGUUUUUGAUGCAUAAGCCUAAGAAAUCAAUGGAGAUGUCAGUGCCCUGUACGUUUCUGCCAAAGAGAGGAUUUUGUUUUUACAGAGUUAUAUCCCAAGAAAUGUUCAACACAACAGCUUCCCUUUUGCCUCAUGAUCUUAAAGGGCUAUUUAUAAACUGCCAAGAGCUGGUGGCCAUUACCUUUUAUUUAGAGACCCUGGGUAAGUAAAAGCCAAUAGAGUUGUUACCGUGUUCAUUAUUAAACUGGAAAUAUGGCUGAUCUCACAGGAUUAAGGAUGGAGCUUGGACUCUGACAAACGAUUUGUCUGGUGCAUCCCAGAUCAGAAGUGGCUUUGGACUGAUACUGGUUUCAGUUAGCAUGGGGCACACUGAAAGCUGGGGGUUUUUAGGAAGCUGGCGGGUGAUAAAUGAUUUGGUAGAUGAAAGGGAAGAGCUAUUAUCUGGCUGUGACAGAUGAAGGGUAGCACCUCGGCUUCUGAAGUUCUCUUCAGCUGAGCACUCCUGUGUACUGCCUUCCUAACCUGGUGAGUGGGUCAGAAGUGCGGGGAGCAAUUUGUGGGAAAGGCUUACAGUCCUGCUGAAAUGUAGCACUUGAUAAUACAUUCAGGUAGUUGGCUGUCUGAGGUAUUCUCUUAUUACUUUGGGAAAUGGAUUCCCUCCUUUUCCAGAUGAACGGUUAAGCUGUUUCCAUUUUAUGGUGGGAUAUGUAUGGGAACAUCAUGGUUUGGAGGAGCAGGAUGUGAACUCCUGACUCACCAGCAUAAUGGGGGAGAGGUGCAUUUAUUCACUUUUAACCUCAGCAUGCAGAAGCCACAAUCAAACGGGCUGUAAGGAAUAGGUGACUAAUUUAUGAGGCCAGGAUUGCUUUGCAUGCUAGAAUUUCUGUGCAAUUA
ensembl:lncRNA